rnacentral:lncRNA from 1 species
GUUCUGUUAUACCUAGCAUCACUGAAAAUUAAAAAUAGACUUGGAUAAAAUAAAAUAACAUCAAUCUUCCAUAUGCAAUAACUCACACAGAUAUUUAGAAAAAGAAACCCAAAGUAUUCAUUUUUGGUGUUCUGGUUUUUUCACAGCGGAAAUAGAGGCCUUGUAGGAAACAAGUAGGUGUUGGAAAGCUCUUCUUUAUUUCUCCCUUACUGAGCCAGGGCUGCUUAAAAAAGCUAUCCUGUGCCAGAGUUGGAGCCUUCAGUUCACUCAGCAGUGACAGCUUUUAUUUAAACUCUGUGGGCUCUAUAUUCCCCUUUUCCUAAGAGCUCUAUGUCUCUCCUCAUUUGUUAUGGUCCAUUUUUUUUCUCUCUCUCACUUAUGGCAGAGACAGAACAGGCUCUUGGAGAAAUGGGAGGACUGCAGCCCUGACUCUGCAGAGAGCAGCCAGAACUUAUUUGCAAAGAAUAAUGUACAAGUCAAUAAAUUUGCUUCCAAACUGUUUCGCCUGAUCAUAUCCAAUCGCUGAAGUGCCGGCGACCACCUAGAGAACCACAAUAAUGGGCUUCCCCUUGAGACAGCCGCAUGGGACUUCUGUUCAUUCCUUUCAUGUAGA